GAUUUAGGUUUAAGAUAUAGGGUUUGAGUUUAGGGUUUACGGUUUAAAUUUAGUGUUUAGGAUUUGGGUUAGGAUAUAGGGCUUUGGUUUAGGGUUUACGGUCUGGAUUUAGAAUUUGGGUUUAGGGUUUAGGGUUUAGAGUUUGAUUUUAGAAUUUAGGGUUUAGGGUUUAGAUUUAAGGUUUAAGGUUUAGUUAGUGGCUUUAGCAUCAUUAAAAUUGACGGUUUUUUUUUCAAUUAUUUCAGAUUUAAAAAAAAAUAAAAUUAAUCUAUUUUAUUAUUAAUCUAGCUAACAAGAGGAGAGGUGAAUCUAAAGGUUCACCCCUAGGGUAAACCUAAGUCUUGUUCCUAUUGAUAUAUGUUUAGUCCAACUAAUUAUUUUCAACAAUC
rnacentral:lncRNA from 1 species